rnacentral:tRNA from 1 species
AAGUUUAAGUUAAUACAAACUCAGGGCCUUCAAAGCCCUACAUAGGGACUAACCCUAACUUCUG